ensembl:misc_RNA Metazoa_SRP Metazoan signal recognition particle RNA
CUGCUGUGGGCUAUGCCAAUCAGGUGUCUGCGCUAAGUUCGGCAUCAAUAUGGCGAGCCCUGGGGAGUUGAGGUGCACCAGGUUGCUCAAGGAGGGGUGAACCAGCCCAGGUUGGAGACGGAGCAGGUAAAAACUCCCAUGCCAAUCAGUAGUGGGACUGUGCCUGUGAAGAGCCACUGCAG